AUGAGGUUCCCUGCUCAGCUUCUGGGUCUGCUGAUGCUCUGGAUCCCAGGAGCCAGAAGUGAUAUUGUGAUGACCCAGAGUCCACUAUCCCUUUCCAUCGCCCCAAGAAAGCCAGCCUCCAUCUCCUGCAGAUCUAGUGAGAGUCUGUUGCACAGUAAUGGAAACACCUAUCUGAACUGGUUCCAUCAGAAGCCAGGCCAGCCCCCAAGGCUCCUGUUCUAUCUAAUUUCCAAUCGGUAUUCUGGAGUCCCAGAUAGAUUCAGUGCCAGUGGUUCAGGGACUGAUUUCACUCUUCAAAUAAGUAGUGUGGAUCCUGAGGAUGUUGGAGUUUACUACUGUAGCCAAGCUACAAAGUCACCUCACACAGUGAUACAGCCCUAA